rfam:Geomyces destructans 20631-21 mitochondrion, whole genome shotgun sequence.
AGAUAUGUUGCAAAUGGUUUUGCAUUUGGAUUGCAGAUCUAUAAUAAGGGGUUCGAUUCUUCCAUAUCUC